rnacentral:misc_RNA from 1 species
GAUGAAGAACGCAGCGAAAUGCGAUAAGUAAUGUGAAUUGCAGAAUUCAGUGAAUCAUCGAAUCUUUGAACGCACCUUGCGCUCCUUGGUAUUCCGAGGAGCAUGCCUGUUUGAGUGUCAUUAAUAUAUCAACCUCUUCAGCUUAUGCUUGUUGAGUGUUGGAUGGUGGGGGUUUGCUGGUGUCUUAUGAAGUCAGCUCCUCUGAAAUGCAUUAGCGGAACAAUUUGUUGACCGUUCAUUGGUGUGAUAAAAAUAUCUACGCUAUUGACGUCAGUCAGUUCAGCUUCUAACAGUCCAUUGACUUGGACAAAUUUUCAUUAAUGUGACCUCAAAUCAGGUAGGACUACCCGCUGAACUUAAGCAUAUCAAUAAGCGGAGGA